rnacentral:rRNA from 1 species
CCUACGGGUGGCAGCAGUGAGGAAUAUUGGUCAAUGGACGCAAGUCUGAACCAGCCAUGCCGCGUGCAGGAUGACGGCUCUAUGAGUUGUAAACUGCUUUUGUACGAGGGUAAACCCCGAUACGUGUAUCUGGUUGUAUGUAUCGUACGAAUAAGGAUCGGCUAACUCCGUGCCAGCAGCCGCGGUAAUACGGAGGGUCCGUGCUUUGUCCGGAUUUAUUGGGUUUAAAGGGUGCGUAGGCGGGUUGAUAAGUUAGAGGUGAAAUGUCGGGGCUCAACCCCGAAACUGCCUCUGAUACUGUUGGACUAGAGUAUAGUAGCGGUAGGCGGAAUGUAUGGUGUAGCGGUGAAAUGCUUAGAGAUCAUGCAGAACACCGAUUGCGAAGGCAGCUUACCAAACUAUAUCUGACGUUGAGGCACGAAAGCGUGGGUAGCAAACAGGAUUAGAUACCCCUGUAGUC